rnacentral:rRNA from 1 species
GACGAACGCUGGCGGCGUGCUUAACACAUGCAAGUCGAACGGAAAGGCCCUGCUUUUGUGGGGUGCUCGAGUGGCGAACGGGUGAGUAGCACGUGAGUAACCUGCCCUUGACUUUGGGAUAACUUCAGGAAACUGGGGCUAAUACCGGAUAGGAGCUCCUGCUGCAUGGUGGGGGUUGGAAAGUUUCGGCGGUUGGGGAUGGACUCGCGGCUUAUCAGCUUGUUGGUUGGGUAGUGGCUUACCAAGGCUUUGACGGGUAGCCGGCCUGGGAGGGUGACCGGCGACAAUGGGACUGAGAGACGGAGCAGACUGCUAUGGUAGGCAGUGGGGGGGAAUAUGGCACAAUGGGCGGGAGCCUGAUGCAGCAACGCCGGGUUCGGGAUGACGGCCUUCGGGUUGUAAAACGCUGUCGCCUGUGACGAAGCGUUAGUGACGGUAAUGGGUAAAGAAGCACCGGCUAACUACGUG